UAUAAUUUACUUGAAUUUGACAACCCUACUUGGAUACCGGUGGUAAUUCUAGCGCUAAUACAUGCACCAAAGCUCCGACCGCGAGGGAAGAGCGCAUUUAUUAGAACAAAACCACACGGCUUCGGCCGUCCAAUGUUGACUCAGAAUAACUAAGCUGAUCGCAUGGUCUUGCACCGGCGACGUUUCUUUCAAGUAUCUGCCUUAUCAACUUUCGAUGGUAGUGUAUCUGACUACCAUGGUGAUGACGGGUAAUGGAGGAUAAGGGUUCGACUCCGGAGAAGGGGCCUGAGAAAUGGCCACUACGUCUAAGGAUGGCAGCAGGCGCGCAAAUUACCCACUCCCAGUACGAGGAGGUAGUGACGAGAAAUAACAAGACCGUUCUCACAAGAGGCCGGUCAUUGGAAUGGGUACAAUUUAAACCCUUUAACGAGUAUCUAUGAGAGGGCAAGUCUGGUGCCAGCAGCCGCGGUAAUUCCAGCUCUCAAAAUGCAUAGAAUUAUUGCUGCGGUUAAAAAGCUCGUAGUUGGAUCUGUGCUGGCCUCCCGGUCCACCUCCGGGUGCGCACUGGGCAGGUUGGCUUUUCUGUCGUUUACGCGGAUGUUCCUAACGGGGCAACCGCAUCGCGACAAUUUUACCUUGAACAAAUCAGAGUGCUCAAAACAGGCGUUUCGCUUGAAUGUUCGUGCAUGGAAUAAUAGAAGAGGAUUUCGGUUCUAUUUUAUUGGUUUUAUAGACUGAGAUAAUGGUUAACAGAGACAAACGGGGGCAUUCGUAUUGCUGCGUGAGAGGUGAAAUUCUUGGACCGUAGCAAGACGGACUACAGCGAAAGCAUUUGCCAAGAAUGUCUUCAUUAAUCAAGAACGAAAGUCAGAGGUUCGAA
rnacentral:rRNA from 1 species